rnacentral:rRNA from 1 species
CAUCUAGUAAAGUUAAAGAAAUGGUUCAUUAAUUAGUAUUGUGGCGUCGUGUCUGUUUAUAGCUCUUAUAAUGACGGUAGCUAUAUAUAAAAGCCCCGGCUAACUUCGUGCCAGCAGCCGCGGUAAUACGGAGGGGGCUAGUGUUACUCAUAUUGAUUGGGUGUAAAGGGUAUGUAGUACGGUUUUUUUAGUUUAGAACGUAAAUCCUAUGAUUGCCAUUAUAGAAGUGUUCUAAAACAAAUUAACUUAGAGUUUAAAAAAGGAUAACAGUACUUCUAGUCUAGGGGUAAAAUCUGCUGCGGAUUAGAGGGACUAUCGCGGGCGAAGGCGGUUAUCUAGUUUAAUACUGACGUUGAGGUACGAAGGUGUGGGUAGUCAAUGGGAUUAGAUACCCCAGUAGUCCACACAGUAAACGAUGAAUGCUCGUAAUUAGAUAUAAUUUUUAGUUACUUAGCUAACGCGUUAAGCAUUCCACCUGGGGAUUACGAUCGCAAGAUUAAAACUCAAAGGAAUAGGCGG